UCAGAGACUCAGAUAAGAUCUGGUCUCUGGACUGAAGUGAGACCAAGAGAAAUUUCAACCAGAAGAAUUUCUAUCAUGCUCUGCCCUGGCCUGCUGUGGGCAUUCCUGGCCUCCUUUGGCUUCAGAUCUGGCAUGGCUGAGAGAGUGAUCCAAAUGCAGAAUACGGUAAUAAUUCAGGAAGGAAAAGCUGCCACCAUGGAGUGCAAGUAUGAAACCAGUUGGACUAAUUACUAUACUUUGUAUUGGUACAAACAGCCUCCCAGUGGAAGGAUGCAUUUCCUCAUUUACCAGGAUGAAAGCAAGCCAAAUGCAAAGCAGGGUCGCCUCUCCAUGAACUUUCAAAAGACAGAAAAAUCCAUCGCUCUCACCAUCUCUCUCGUACAACUGGCAGACUCGGCGGUGUAUUUCUGUGCUCUCAGUAGUUCCACGGUAAUAAAAAUAAUAGUGGAAGAUGAACAAAAACCUUGGAGCUCCACAAAGGCAGCCACCUGCUUAGAGGCUUAG